rnacentral:lncRNA from 1 species
UUUAGGUAAAAGGGAUAAUACAUAAACAAAAAUUAGCAAUUGUGGGAGACAUUCAAUGGCAGAUUUACAAAGAACAAGGAAUACCAAUGAGUGCUUGUAUUAAAGGCUGCUAACACCUUGUAAAAUGAGUGAAUUAUUUUGAAUGUUUUGAUGGCUCAGCUGGGGAUGGAUAAACACUUGUAGGCUCGGGUUUGCUGCAUUGUUUAAAAAUAAUUCAAAGUCAUCAAAAUGCAAUUUUUGCCUAAACAUCAUUAAACUUUAAACAAAUUGAAUACUCCAGAUCUAAAGUAGAAAAUAAAAAAACAAAAUUGGUUCUUAUAUCUAUAUUGGCAGCAAAGUGAUUUGUGCAUGAGAUGCUCUUCUUCUGACUCGAAAUUACAAGUGAUGGCAUACUAGUCUGUUGACGAGCAAGCCGUCUCACUUCAACACACAAACCCCGUCGUUUUCCACAUCAACUUUGUCCUGGGAUCUUCUGGUAAGCCUAUUAUUUACAUGUUUGUCGGUUGAUAAGUCAAUCAAAAGAUUGAUUAGACAUGAUAACUUAAUAUCAUUGAUUUGAUUAUAUCAUGUCCAAGAUUAGCGCUUUUUCUGUUUUGGAUUUUGAAUUAGUUAUUUCUAUUCUGAGUUAAUUCAUCGGAAAGGAGAUGAAGAUGGAGAAUUAUUACUAUCAUGGUGAUCCUUAUGUCGGGAAGGAGGUCUAGGCAAUGGUGGAAGUGGCUACAGAUCAGGAUUAGGCCUAUAACGAUCAGAUCUCUGUGGCUGGUGAAGAAUUGCCUGUCAAAUAAUGGCUGGUGAAGAAUUCUUCUGUGACAGGUAAUUGUGGAGAUGAAUAUGACAAAGAAAUUGAUGGUGAUAAUAGAACUAAAAAGAGGAUGAAAUGAUGAUGGUGAUUAUAGCUGUGAGCUUUCAUUGUGAUAAAGUUUUGGAGCUUCUUGUUAAUCUGUCCUACUCUUCUCUUUUUAGUCUUUCUCUUUAUUUGUGAUCAUUGUUUUCAGUUGUAAAAAAUUGUCUUUCGCGAGAUAAAGACACAGAGAAAGAUGGACAAGGCAUUUUUUCAAUCAAGAAAGGACGCUUGAGCUGAUAUUCCUGACAUCAGUGUCCCACUUUUUAGUUUUAAAUAUAUUUAUAUACCAUGUCAUAAAACUCAAACGCUUGUUAACGUGGUUUUUCAGUACUGUUUAGCGAGGGGCUAAAAGUAAAGGAAAUCUUAAGUUUACAAUAUAUUUGCA